CCCUUAGAUGUUCUGGGCCGCACGCGCGCUACAAUGGUCUUCGCAAACGGAUGCAUUCUCGAAGGAGAAUGCCAAUCUUGGAAUCUAUGCCUUGGUCGGGACAGUUGCUUGCAAUUUUUCGACUCGAACCAGGAAUUCCUUGUAAUCGUGAUUCAUCACAUCACGAUGAAUACGUCCCUGCCCUUUGUACACACCGCCCGUCGCACCUACCGAUUGAAUGGUCCGGUGAAGCCUCCGGAUUGGCGCGCACCUCGGUGCCGCCGAGAAGUUGGCUAAACCUUACCAUUUAGAGGAAGGUGAAGUCGUAACA
rnacentral:rRNA from 1 species